ensembl:lncRNA
CGCAAGUCCUCCAAUUAAGCGAAAAUCACGCGUUUUCUCUUCGAGAAUCCCCCAUUUAACCCGCAAAUCAUGCGUUUUCUCUUCGAGAAUCCCCCAUUUAACGCAAAAAACACGCAUUUUCUCUUCUCAAAUCCCCCAUUUAACCCGAAAAUGGCACAUUUUCAAUUUGCAAAUCCCCCAUUUAAGCGAAAAACACACGUUUUCUCUUCACAAAUCCGCCAUUUAAGCGAAAAUCACGCAUUUUCUCUUCGAGAAUCCAACAUGUAACGAAAAUCACGCGUUUUCUCAAAUCCCCCAUUUAAGCGAAAAUCACGCGUUUUCUCUUCGGAAAUCCCCCAUUUAACUUGAAAAUCACGCGUUUUCUCUUCGAGAAUCCCACAUUUAUGCGAAAAACACACGUUUUCUCUUCGAAUAUCCAACAUUUAAGCGAUAAUCAGGCGUUUUCUGAAAUCCCCCUUUUAAGCAAAAAUCACACGUUCUCCCUUCGCAAAACCCCCAUUUAAGCGAAAAUCUCGCGUUUUCUCUUUGAGAAUCGUCAAUUUAGGUGAAAAUCAAGCGUUUUCUCUUUGAGAAUCCCCCAUUUAAGCGAAAAU